AAUGAACGCUGGCGGCAGGCCUAACACAUGCAAGUCGAACGGUUCCUUCGGGACUAGUGGCGGACGGGUGAGUAACGCGUGGGAACGUGCCCCUUGGUACGGAAUAGCCCCGGGAAACUGGGAGUAAUACCAUAUGUGGUCGAGAGACGGAAGAUUUAUCGCCAAGGGGUCGGCCCGCGUUGGAUUAGGUAGUUGGUGGGGUAAUGGCCUACCAAGCCGACGAUCCAUAGCUGGUUUGAGAGGAUGAUCAGCCACACUGGGACUGAGAAACGGCCCAGAAUCCUACGGGAGGCAGCAGUGGGGAAUCUUAGACAAUGGGGGAAACCCUGAUCUAGCCAUGCCGCGUGAUCGAUGAAGGCCUUAGGGUUGUAAAGAUCUUUCAGGUGGGAAGAUAAUGACUGUACCACCAGAAGAAGCCCCGGCUAACUCCGUGCCAGCCGCCGCAGUAA
rnacentral:rRNA from 1 species